AGAGUUUGAUCCUGGCUCAGGAUGAACGCUAGCGGCAGGCUUAACACAUGCAAGUCGAGGGGUAUAGUUCUUCGGAACUAGAGACCGGCGCACGGGUGCGUAACGCGUAUGCAAUCUACCUUUUGCAGAGGGAUAGCCCAGAGAAAUUUGGAUUAAUACCUCAUAGUAUGUGAGAAUGGCAUCAUUUUCGCAUUAAAGUCACAACGGCAAAAGAUGAGCAUGCGUCCCAUUAGCUAGUUGGUAAGGUAACGGCUUACCAAGGCAACGAUGGGUAGGGGUCCUGAGAGGGAGAUCCCCCACACUGGUACUGAGACACGGACCAGACUCCUACGGGAGGCAGCAGUGAGGAAUAUUGGACAAUGGGCGCAAGCCUGAUCCAGCCAUGCCGCGUGCAGGAUGACGGUCCUAUGGAUUGUAAACUGCUUUUGUACAGGAAGAAACACUGGUUCGUGAACCAGCUUGACGGUACUGUAAGAAUAAGGAUCGGCUAACUCCGUGCCAGCAGCCACGGUAAUACGGAGGAUCCAAACGUUAUCCGGAAUCAUUGGGUUUAAAGGGUCCGUAGGCGGUUUAGUAAGUCAGUGGUGAAAGCCCAUCGCUCAACGGUGGAACGGCCAUUGAUACUGCUAGACUUGAAUUAUUAGGAAGUAACUAGAAUAUGUAGUGUAGCGGUGAAAUGCGUA
rnacentral:rRNA from 1 species